UACGGAGGGGGUUAGCGUUGUUCGGAAUGACUGGGCGUAAAGCGCGCGUAGGCGGGCUGGAAAGUCAGGGGUGAAAUCCCGGGGCUCAACCCUGGAAUGGCCUUUGAAACUCCCAGCCUUGAGUUCGAGAGAGGUGAGUGGAAUUCCGAGUGUAGAGGUGAAAUUCGUAGAUAUCGGGAGGAACACCAGUGGCGAAGGCGACUACCUGGCCUGUUCUUGACGCUGAGGCGCGAAAGCUAGGGGAGCAAACGGGG
rnacentral:rRNA from 1 species